UGGGGAAUAUUGCGCAAUGGGCGAAAGCCUGACGCAGCUACGCCGCGUGGGUGAUGAAGGCCUUCGGGUUGUAAAGCCCUGUCGAGGGGGAAGAAGUAUGACGGUACCCCUCAAGAAAGCGCCGGCUAACCCUGUGCCAGCAGCCGCGGUAAUACAGGGGGCGCGAGCGUUGCUCGGAAUCACUGGGCGUAAAGCGUACGCAGGCGGACCGUUAAGUCGGAUGUGAAAUCCCAGGGCUCAACCCUGGAAGUGCAUUCGAUACUGGCGGUCUCGAGUACGGGAGAGGAGAGCGGAAUUCCUGGUGUAGAGGUGAAAUUCGUAGAUAUCAGGAGGAACACCGGUGGCGAAAGCGGCUCUCUGGCCCGAUACUGACGCUCAUGUACGAAAGCGUGGGGAGCAAACAGG
rnacentral:rRNA from 1 species